UCAGGAGUGACCCAUAAAAGCUACAUAAGAGCGUGGGAUCUUGACCGGUGGGUAGCACUUUUACAAGUAUGGAUGUCGUUGUCUUUUUUGCAACUGCGCUGCUUCUGUUUUCUGGCAGCCAAGAAGCUAACAGUAAGGCAGCACCGGAUGGCCAAGAUCCAUUAUGUACAUCCCAAAAUAACGGCCUCUUACGAUACAUCGCGGGCUCAGUAUUAAGUCUAUGCAGUGAUGGGAACUGGCAAGCAGUCUUUUCACCAGGAAACCUCCUCGCUCAUUGGAAGAUGGACGAACAAUUAGGCAAUACAGUCGAUGAUGACUCGGGUAAUGAGAAUCAUGGCACUGCAGAACGCGCGUCCCCGACCAGGGCUAAAUUCACCCGAGGACGGUACUUUGACAAUGGCGGCGGUACUAUCACGAUCCCGCAUAGUAUUGGACUUGACUUGACCCACAUUUUCAGUAUUGCUUGCUGGUACAAAGUGACAGACAGCCCUUGGGUCGCAGUGUCGUAUCCGGACAAGACGUUCUUUGUGCGCAAAGGUACCGCUUUUCCGCAUGGGAGUCAACAGAUAAGACCACGCCCAGGCUUUGAGUUUGCCCUCGGUUACAAAUCACUAGGGACUCGAAUUUCUGUAAGCGAUGGUUAUCACAUGGUAUCAUCUAUUCUCGAGCACGACAGCGCUUUUCUGCCCGCACGGCUAAUUGGCAGGUGGGCGCACUACGUAUUGACGCUCGAUCGGCGAGUUGGGGUGAUAACUAUGUACAUAAACGGCCGGAAGCAGACAAACACCGUGAAUAUCCGUAGCCUUACGGGUAGUAUUGGUAACGACAUGCCCUUAGUUAUCGCCUUUCAGUAUAGUCGGAUAACAAGGGGUUAUCUGGAUGAUUGUAGGGUCUACAAGCAUGCAUUGAGUUCGGCUGAGGCAAAAUUACUCUAUCAAAAUCAUAGGUUGUGACACGCCCUAAACCUUUAGCAGUGGAGUAACCAGGAUUUUUAACAGGAGGGGGCCCAAAAGGGACUUUCAAGGCAUUUUCUCCUGUAUUUUAGAUGUCUUAUACAUUAACUGUUUUUUUUUUUUUUGGCUGCUUAACUCAGUGCCUCUAAGGCACGGCUGAAUUUUUCAGUUUUACCCCCAGCAUUGAUUUUGGCCGCGGGGGCCUAGGUACCAUGUAUCCUUGACAACACAACAGAGGCGCUGAGGUGACGCUCUUACUUCAGAUAUGGCGAAUUUUGUGAGCGAAUUUCGUAGUUUUAGAGUGCAUAACAAAGGAAAUUGGCCGAAAUAUCAUGGAAUAAAUGGUCUGCAAGUAGUUUCUUUCGGAAUGUCUAUUGCGGGGAAAAGUGUUUGCUGGCUCAAACGACAAUGCUCUACGCCCACGCUCCCAUCCUCUAAUGGACUGUCCACUUCCAUAACAUCUAAUAAUUAAUUGUUUUGUGUUGCAAGUUUAUCCCUGGAACAGAUGACAGGGCACUGGCAAGUGAACACUGGUACUGUUCUUGGAAACUUUCCUCAUAUUGCUCAAAGAGAGCUCUUGCAACAUUUGUAGCAUCACGUUUUCGUGCUUUUACAGUAGGGGUUGCAUUUCGCAGACGCUGAGCCUCGUUGUUAGCGGCAAAUAUAAUAUUUUGCUUUGCUUUCCCCUUGAAGAAAUUUGAGGUGACUGGGAAGUAUGACAUAACCUCUGUGUAUCUGAUUGCACAGGCUUUACAGUUCUGAAAUGAAUGUUCCUUUCUUCUAUUUUCAGAUAAACCUUGCCAUUUCUCUCUAGAGAAAGUCUCCAUAAACUUUGAUUUUUCCUCAGCUUUUCUGGUGUUCCAUUUGUUCAUGGCAUUCCUCAAACCAGGCAGCUUUCUAUGGAAUUUAAGGAACUCGAUAUCAAAAGCAUCCCCUGUUACUUGUGGUGGGAAAUAGCUCCUGUACUUUCUGUACUGCUCCCCCUUUACUCUCGCAUUGUACUUUGUAGUGCUUUCACCACUUUCUCUCGGUAAUGCCUUUUCGACCUCCCUGGCCACCUGCAAUGCUAUAACCUUCCCAAAUCCACACGUUUGUGAACAUAGAAAGACCCCUGCCAUCUCAGGGUGACUUUUUUUUUAUAAAAUUCAACAACUAGAAGACAAAAUUUUCGUAAAACUCGCUGGGGAAAAAAACUUUGCACUUUUCAAUUCCAUAACUACACCAACUGCGCCCACUGUUUGAAAAUCCCGCCUAAAAUACACAAAAGGACAUGCGCAAUAAUGUGCUUUGUAAUCAGAGUCUUUUUAUUUACUGUAAGAUUCAAGAUUCCAUUUAUUUCCCUACCAUAAUCAUGCUGUUUACUUUAAUCGUUCUAAAUUCAGUACGUCUUUCCGUUCAUUUUAGACGAUCGUUUAACUAUAUUUAAACAGUUCUGCAUGGGAUACAUCUCUUGUUGUCCCUUUGUCGUUUAACUAAGAAAUCUCUUGCAAUUUUCGUCAUUUUCUUCAUGUAUUCAAUCAAUCUACUGCAACAAUGUGUAUUCCCUUCACAGGCCAUCCGCCAUCUUGCUUUCAUUGUAUCUAUGGAAACUGACAACCGCUGAUCACUUUUUAGCUGAGCCUGCUUCGAUCUUUCCAAAGAAAGAGCGUCAGCUUUUAUCGCUUUUGAAAAACACCUUAGCUAUUAGGAAACUGCAACUCUCAAUCAUGUUUUAGAAGUUUAAUCCCUAAAUGAUUCAAAUCCAAGGUGUAAGUUUGGAAAAAUAGUUUUAUUGCCUGUAAUAAUGCAGUGUAUUGUGACACAUCGUUCUGAAUUCUACAAUUAUCGAUCAAAGCCCUCAAUUUACUUCGUCAACAGCUUUGGAAUACAAAUUUCCAGCUUACAUUUGUAUACUCUGGUUAUCCCUCCUUCAUUUAGCAUUGGAAUUUUGGAGUUUUAAUUACGUCCUGUGUGUCUGCAGGGCGCCAGAAAAAAGGAUGUUUUUUCACAAGCUUGUAACACCUUAAUUAUGUCACGUGAAGGUUUCCAUGGCAACUGAGUAGUCGGUAACAUCGAGCAUGUUAUGCAGAAAAACUACGCCAACUUUCAGGCUGAUUGGUUAAAAAAUGCGUUGUCAAGAAUUUUUUAACUGAGUCCGUCCGGUUUUUACGAGUUCAGCCUUGCCUUAAAUGCACUGAGAAAGGCGGGACAGGGCCCCUAGGCCACCCCCUGGCUAUGCCCCUGUUUAGUCUGCACAAAGACAAAGCAAGGGGAGGGAUCGAUGGGUCUGAAACGCCUUAGCCCUUUAGGUUGUACCUAAAUAAAGCAUAUUUUCUCUUAAAAUUUUGGUACACAUAAGAAGGCAAAUUGCCUAAAUUGCUAUUAAUGAUCCCCUCCCCCCAUCUUCAUCUUUGAGUCACCAAGAAAUCUUAGGCUCUUUUACAGGUUUGCUAAGAUUCUCAAGUUUGUAGGCCUGGUCAUUUGUGAUGGGGGAAAGGGAAAAGAACACAAAUGUUCUUCCUCCAAGUCUAAAAUAAAACUUAAUAGGGGGCUAUGAUAAUGACUAUGAUUUGUAAAGAUGAUCUUUGUAUGUCUUUAAUCUUUUGUUUCUUGCAGUUUCUACUUUGAAAUAAAAGUGCACAUAGCACUA